rnacentral:rRNA from 1 species
UACGUAGGGGGCAAGCGUUGUCCGGAAUCAUUGGGCGUAAAGCGCGUGUAGGCGGCCCGAUAAGUCCGCUGUGAAAGUCCAGGGCUCAACCCUGGGAUGCCGGUGGAUACUGUCGGGCUCGAGUCCGGAAGAGGAGUGUGGAAUUCCUGGUGUAGCAGUGAAAUGCGUAGAUAUCAAGAGGAACACCAGUGGCGAAGGCGAGUCCCUGGACAAUACCUGACACUGAGGCACGAAAGCCAAGGGAGCAAACAGG